AUUGAACGCUGGCGGCAGGCCUAACACAUGCAAGUCGAGCGGAUGAAGGGAGCUUGCUCCUGGAUUCAGCGGCGGACGGGUGAGUAAUGCCUAGGAAUCUGCCUGGUAGUGGGGGAUAACGUCCGGAAACGGGCGCUAAUACCGCAUACGUCCUGAGGGAGAAAGUGGGGGAUCUUCGGACCUCACGCUAUCAGAUGAGCCUAGGUCGGAUUAGCUAGUUGGUGGGGUAAAGGCCUACCAAGGCGACGAUCCGUAACUGGUCUGAGAGGAUGAUCAGUCACACUGGAACGGAGACACGGUCCAGACUCCUAAGGGAGGCAGCAGUGGGGAAUAUUGGACGAUGGGCGAAAGCAUGAUCCAGCCAUGCCGCGUGUGUGAAGAAGGUCUUCGGAUUGUAAAGCACUUUAAGUUGGGAGGAAGGGCAGUAAGUUAAUACCUUGCUGUUUUGACGGUACCAACAGAAUAAGCACCGGCUAACUUCGUG
rnacentral:rRNA from 1 species